rnacentral:rRNA from 1 species
CCUANGGGCGGCAGCAGUGAGGAAUCUUGCGCAAUGGGCGAAAGCCUGACGCAGCGACGCCGCGUGAAGGAUGAAGGUCUUCGGAUUGUAAACUUCUGUCGAGUGGGACGAAUGCCAUGAGGGCGAACAGCCCUUGUGGUUGACGGUACCGCUGGAGGAAGCCCCGGCUAACUCCGUGCCAGCAGCCGCGGUAAUACGGAGGGGGCCAGCGUUGUUCGGAAUCAUUGGGCGUAAAGGGCGCGUAGGCGGCCGAUCAAGUCGGAGGUGAAAUCCCUCGGCUCAACUGAGGAACUGCCUCCGAUACUGUUCGGCUUGAGUCCUGGAGAGGGUAGUGGAAUUCCGAGUGUAGCGGUGAAAUGCGUAGAGACUCGGAAGAACACCAGUGGCGAAGGCGGCUACCUGGACAGGUACUGACGCUGAAGCGCGAAAGCUAGGGGAGCAAACAGGAUUAGAUACCCCGNUANUC